rnacentral:rRNA from 1 species
AGAGUUUGAUCCUGGCUCAGGACGAACGCUGGCGGCGUGCCUAACACAUGCAAGUCGAGCGGAGAUUGUAGCAAUACAAUCUUAGCGGCGGACGGGUGAGUAACGCGUGGGCAACCUGCCUUUUACAGGGGGAUAACACAGGGAAACUUGUGCUAAUACCGCAUAACACAGCGAAGUGACAUCACUUUGUUGUCAAAGGA